GAAUUUUAUAAAUAUUUAUAUUAAGAAAAAUAAAUUUAUAAAAAAUUGUAAAUAUUUAUUUAAUUGGGAGGAUUAUUAAAUUUAAUAAACUUUAAUAAAAAAUUACAAAUAUAUUUGAUUUAAGGAAUUAAUAAAAUAAUUUAUUUUAAUAGAAAAAUUACCUUAGGGAUAACAGCGUAAAAUUAUUGGAUAGAUCAUAUAAAAAAUAUUGUUUGC
rnacentral:rRNA from 1 species